AACUUAGUUAAAGUAGCAGGUAGAUGAAAAAGGAAGGAUGAUAUAAAAAUGCAUCAGAGGCAUUUUUGACAAAAAGGGUGUACUAGAAAAACUCCUCUUUUCACAUCCUAACAAAAAUGGAGAGUUUGAAAUCCUAACAUGCAAACCCCUUUUGGAAACGAAAAUGAUGAUCACCGGUGCAUAUUGUGCGCUAACCCGUAACCCCCUUCUGCUAUCCCGCUCCUUCAACAUUUUUCCUAAACCCACCCCCCUUCAAUUUCCAACUACACCCUCUCCUUCGUUUCCUUCAUUUAACCGCUUUCCAUCUCUCUUCCCUCAACUGUGCAUCCGUCAUUCUCGCCUCUCCACCCUCCCUCAUAAUGACUCCGGCGGAUUUGGCGGUGAUAGUGGCUCUGGAGGAUGGGAUCCCGGCGACAAUGAUUCCGAUGACGGAGGCGGAAAAUGGUCAUUCUUGUCAUGCAUUGCGAAGAAGACCGAGCCUAUGAACACACUGGCAUCAUCUGUUUGGUGGGUUUUUGUAUUUAGUUCUAUUGUUGUCGGUGGUCAAGCUCUUGUGGAAGCUCCUUUUCUCCUCCUCUGGUUUAGUCAGCCAAAUGUAAUGAUUAUGGUUGAUAAGAACAAGAAGCAACUUGAUGAAGCAAGAAUUGGUUCGCACAAUCAAAGCCAUAUCAGUGAACUAUCUCUUCAUCCAGAUGAUUCUGAGUGUUGUAUAUGCCUCUGUUCAUAUGUUGAUGGAACAGAACUGUAUCGCCUUCCAUGUACCCACCAUUUUCAUUGCGAAUGCAUCAGUCGUUGGCUUCGGACAAAAGCAACUUGCCCACUCUGCAAAUUUAAUAUCCGAAGAGGUGAUAUAUUGGUUUGAUAUUUCGUUGAUAAAGACUAGAUAGCACUGAGGUGAAGUAUCACUUAAAUGGGACAUGACAGUGGAGAACCAAAAUAUUUGCUAAUCUGCUGACUAGUGUUGGUACAUAAGUUGAAAACAAGAAGGAAAUGCCCCACCCUCUCAUCUUUGUCUUUGAAUUCUAGUUUCCUUAGAGCAUUGCGAAGAAGACCGAGCCUAUGAAUACACUGGUAUUAUCUGCUUUCUUGGUUUUUGGAUUUUCUUGUAUUGUUGUUGGUGGUCAAGCUCUUGUGGAAGUUCCUUUUCUCCUCUUCGGGUUAACAAUGGUCUGUCUAUCCCUUAACGAGUUUUUUGAUGCUGUCUUUUCCUUUUGGAUAUAUUUGAUAGUUUUCGGUGCUCUCUUCUGCAUUGUCCAAAUAAUAGCGUUAGCUUAUGCUUUAACGCAACCUUUAAGAAUCAGAGAAGGUGCUUCAGAAGAUGAUAUCAAGUCACUUCCUAUGUAUAGGUUUUGUCAGCCAAAUGUAAUGAUUAUGGUUGAUAAGAACAAGACACAACUGGAAGCAAGAACUGGUUCCCACAAUCGUAGCCAUAUCAGUGAACUAUCUCUUCAUCCAGACGAUUCUGAGUGCUGUAUCUGCCUAUGUCCAUAUGUUGAUGGAACAGAACUAUAUCGCCUUCCAUGUACCCACCAUUUUCAUUGUGAAUGCAUCGGUCGUUGGCUUCGGACAAAAGCAACUUGUCCACUCUGCAAAUUUAAUAUUCGAAUAGGCGAUAUAAUGGUUUGAUAUUUUGUUGAUUAAGACUAAAUGGCACUGAGGUGAAGUAUCACUUGAAAGGGACAUGACAGUGGAGAACCAAAAUAUUUGGUAAUAUGCUGACUACUGUUGGUAUAUAAGUAGAAAAGAAAAAGGAAAUUCCCCACCCUUUCAUCUUUGGGUUUUUGUUUCCAUAGAGGUAAUUUAACUUUUUAACCGGUCGUAAGACCAUCCACAACAGAGCACCCAAAAGUGGGUGCUUAAAUGGGUCAUCUGGGUCCCUAUCAUUAAUUUUACCAUAUGCGGAGAUGAUUUGGCACAGACAGGUUCCUUUGAAGGUAUCCGUCUUUGCUUGGCGGCUUCUUCGUGAUCGGUUGCCUACCAAAUCGAAUCUGAUCUAUAGAGGUGUAAUUCCAACAGAAGCUGGUUUGUGUGUUUCUGGUUGCGGUGCCUUGGAAUCGGCACAACAUUUGUUUCUCUCUUGUUCGUAUUUUGCUUCACUUUGGUCGUUGGUUCGUGAUUGGAUUGGUUUUGUUGGAGUGGACACUAAUGUUUUGUCUGAUCACUUUGUUCAGUUUGUUCACUCAACAGGUGGCAAUAAGGCUUCUCAGUCUUUUCUCCAGCUUAUUUGGCUUCUUUGUGCCUGGGUUUUAUGGACUGAACGUAACAAUAUGUGUUUCAAUGAUUCUAUUACUCCUUUACCCAGGUUGCUUGACAAAGUUAAAUAUUUGUCUCUAGGUUGGUUGAAAGCUAGAAACGCUUCUUUUUUGUUUGGCACUUUUAGUUGGUGGUCAAACCCGUUACAAUGUUUGGGUAUUGGCUAACUUGUUUUUGUUGUUGUACUGAACUCUGUAGUAGUCUUUGUGGCACAUCUUGUGCUAUUGAGACUCUUGUUGUUAAUAUUAUUUCAUUUUUGAUUGUUCAAA